GCAAGAGCGAAGGCCCAGAGAUGGAACCCAGAGAAAAGUCUCAGGGAAGAGUCAGGAGUCCCUUGGGGGCCAGAGUGGGAUGAGAGAGCUGAGGCCUUAGGGAAGACUGAGCUGAUCUUCAGACUCCAGCCUGGUGGGGAGCCGGAUGAGUCCUGGAGAGAUUCUGGCCCCAAGAAGCCGAGGCCAGAGACUUGCCAACUCUCAGCUGGUCAGAGUCCUCUGGGCCCUCCAGAAUCCUGACUCAAUUCAACAAUGACAUCUCGAGUAGCAGGGCAGUCCUGGGAGAGAAGAAUCACUGCAGAUGGUGACUGCAGCCAUGAAAUUAAAAGAUGCUUGCUCCUUGGAAGAACAGCUAUGACAAACUUAGCAUAUUAAAAAGCAGAAACAUUACUUUGCUGACAAAGGUCCAUCUAGUCAAAGCUAUGGCUUUUCCAGUAGUUGUG
ensembl:lncRNA